CAGUAGCCGCGGUAAUACGGAGGGUGCAAGCGUUAAUCGGAAUUACUGGGCGUAAAGCGUGCGUAGGCGGUUCGUUAAGUCUGUUGUGAAAGCCCCGGGCUCAACCUGGGAAUGGCAAUGGAUACUGGCGAGCUAGAGUGUGUCAGAGGAUGGUGGAAUUCCCGGUGUAGCGGUGAAAUGCGUAGAGAUCGGGAGGAACAUCAGUGGCGAAGGCGGCCAUCUGGGACAACACUGACGCUGAGGCACGAAAGCGUGGGGAGCAAACAGGAUUAGAUACCCCGGUAGUCCCUGUCUCUUAUAA
rnacentral:rRNA from 1 species